rnacentral:tRNA from 1 species
GGAGGUGUAGGGGUCCCGGUGGGCUCCGCAGUCUUCAAAACUGUCCGAGGGGGCGUACGUGCGUUCCCUGGUGGGUUCGACUCCCAUACACCUCCG